CCUGAGCCAUGUUUCUCUCGAAGACUUUAAAACACCGACCCCCUAUUCCCCUCCGCCCUAAAAGCAAUGAAUGAAGGAUUGCUGCAAUUUGUAAUUGCAAUAUUUACUCCAAUUUUCCUCCUCUGCAUACUCCUUGGGAUUUUUCAAUUCAUUAAUACAUUUCCUGGCCUCAAUUUAACACCCUUCUUCCACCAAUACCUCAAUUCAAUUCAAUUUCUCUCUCUCUCUCUCCACCCUCCACCUCUCCCCCAUAAUUAAAUUAAGCUUUAAAGAAAACCCCAUCUCUCUCCCUUCAUUUCCCUUAUUUAUAGUGGCCUUGCAGGUUCAAACCCACCAACACCAAGAUCAUUUUGAUGGUGCUAGAGUUGCUGUUCAUGGUUCAAGCCUAGCCACUAGUCUCCCAUUCACCUUUCAUCUGUUCCAUAAUAUUAACCUCCCUUCCUCCCAUAUUGUAUUAGAAGCUCCCUCUCCUCUGCCCUUAAGGUGAAAUAUACUACACAGCACGCCUAAGAUGAGUCGAAAAAAUGGCAAUGGGCCCAAGCUCGACCUUAAGCUGAACCUAUCACCACCAAGGCCCAACCCCAGAGUGGAGUCGCCAAGCCGAUCAGCGACAGUGUCACCAACAUCACCGCCAAGUUCAUGUGUGUCAUCAGAACUGAACCAAGAAGACACUCUGCGAUACUCUAAUAGCCCUGAGGCUACUUCCAUGGUGCUUGUGGGAUGCCCUAGGUGUCUCAUGUAUGUGAUGCUUUCUGAGGGUGAACCUAAAUGCCCCAAAUGCAAGAGUACUGUGUUGCUUGAUUUCGUCCAUAACAACACUGUGCAGACAAGGAAUAGUUAAAAACAGUAGUAGGGCUUAUUCCUCCUGCUGAUUCUCCAAGUAGUUCUAUUUGGGGUCCAGUUUUUUGCAGCUCCAUUCCAUGCUGGAGUGAUUUGAUUGCUGGGAAUGGAAGACUAAACUUGGAGCCCAAAUAGCACUAUUCUCUCUCUCUCUCUCUCUCUCUCUCCUAUAUAUUUUAUUUCUUCCCUUUUUCUAGUCAUAGAACAAAGAGUAGGAGCUUUUUGGAUUCAGAGGUAGUGUGUGUGUUUUCUUUCUGGGUUCAGCUUUCUUCGCUCUUUAGCAGAAGACAUGUAAGUGGGUUAAUUGCAGCAGCCCAAAUACCCCUAUGAAAGUUAGGUAUUUUAUGAUUUUA